CAUUAGAUACCCGUGUAGUCCCAGCCGUAAACUAUGCGCGUUAGGUGUAUCGGUGACCACGAGUCACCGAGGUGCCGAAGGGAAACCGUGAAACGUGCCGCCUGGGAAGUACGGUCGCAAGGCUGAAACUUAAAGGAAUUGGCGGGGGAGCACAACAACGGGUGGAGCCUGCGGUUUAAUUGGACUCAACGCCGGACAACUCACCGGGACGACAGCAAUAUGUAGGCCAGGCUGAAGACCUUGCCUGAAUCGCUG
rnacentral:rRNA from 1 species